rnacentral:rRNA from 1 species
GGGCCCCGCGCCCGGCCCGCCGCGGCCGCCCCCCUACGGGAGGCAGCAGUGCCGAAUAUUGGACAAUGGGCGAAAGCCUGAUCCAGCCAUGCCGCGUGUGUGAAGAAGGUCUUCGGAUUGUUUAGCACUUUAAGUUGGGAGGUUGGGCUGUAGAUUAAUACUUUGCAGUUUUGACGUUACCGACAGAAUAAGCUCCGGCUAACUUCGG